UUUCUCUCUUUCCGAACUCCAUGCCCUAGAUUAGGGUAAAACUCAUAGAGGCAAUUUCGAAGAGAAAAAGGUAAUUCUUCUUCCUUGGUAAGCUUUAAAUCUUUUUCCAUUAUAAUUUGGUUAUUUUUCUGCAUUUUAUCAUUUUGUUUCGUUUUUUUGAUGAACUUACAAUCUCUGAAAAUAAGUGUUUUGGGCGAAUUUAGGAUUUUCAGAAUAUGAGUGCAGCAGAAGAAAAUGUAUUAAGCGGAAAUUGAUCUCUG
rnacentral:misc_RNA from 1 species